rnacentral:rRNA from 1 species
ACGAACGCUGGCGGCGUGCUUCACACAUGCAAGUCGAACGGAAAGGCCCUGCUUUUGUGGGGUGCUCGAGUGGCGAACGGGUGAGUAACACGUGAGUAACCUGCCCUUGACUUUGGGAUAACUUCAGGAAACUGGGGCUAAUACCGGAUAGGAGCUCCUGCUGCAUGGUGGGGGUUGGAAAGUUUCGGCGGUUGGGGAUGGACUCGCGGCUUAUCAGCUUGUUGGUGGGGUAGUGGCUUACCAAGGCUUUGACGGGUAGCCGGCCUGAGAGGGUGACCGGGCACAUUGGGACUGAGAUACGGCCCAGACUCCUACGGGAGGCAGCAGUGGGGAAUAUUGCACAAUGGGCGGAAGCCUGAUGCAGCAACGCCGCGUGCGGGAUGACGGCCUUCGGGUUGUAAACCGCUUUCGCCUGUGACGAAGCGUGAGUGACGGUAAUGGGGAAAGAAGCACCGGCUAACUACGG